AAACCCAACACCUCCAAUUUUGCUGUCAGUAACACAAUUUGCCCUGCUGCAAAGAUUUCAGAUGGUUACUCAGAAUUACAGUCAAAGAAGACAAUCAGGACAAACUCUUCAAACAGUAAUCCUUAGUGAAGCAGGAUCUAAAGAAGAUGUCAUUUAUAGGAGCUGAGCAAAGUAUAGGUAUGACUGGAAGGAGAUCCAGGAAAGGGGAAGAGGACCUCAUCUCAUGAUGUUAUCUGAGGGGAAGUCAACAAACAUCACAGGACAGAAGUGUUGAAGAGCAUCCCCUAUGUUGAGAUCCUCUGACCUCAGCCUACGGAGCAGUUGAAGGUACAGCAGUGCAUCACCAUUUCUAGCUUUUAGAUUAGUUCUGCAAAAAUUGACCCUCCCAUGUAGCUUCAGGUUGCCAAGUACAAGGGGCUAUAACCGUGUGCUACUGCA